AGCGAACGCUGGCGGCAGGCCUAAUACAUGCAAGUCGAACGGUGUCUUCGGACAUAGUGGCGCACGGGUGCGUAACACGUAUGCAACCUACCUUACAUUGGGGGAUAGCCUUUCGAAAGGGAGAUUAAUACCGCAUAAGACAGUAGCUGGGCAUCCAGCAGCUGUUAAAGAUUUAUCGAUGUAAGCUGGGCAUGCGUCCAAUUAGCUAGUUGGUGAGGUAACGGCUCACCAAGGCAAUGAUUGGUAGGGGAACUGAGAGGUCAAUCCCCCACACUGGCACUGAGAUACGGGCCAGACUCCCACGGGAGGCAGCAGUAGGGAAUAUUGGGCAAUGGACGCAAGUCUGGCCCAGCCAUGCCGCGUGCAGGAUGAAGGCGUUAUGCGUUGUAAACUGCUUUUAUACAGGAAAAAACGACUCUUGCGAGAGGCAUUGACGGUACUGUAUGAAUAAGCACCGGCUAACUCCGUGCCAGCCGCCGCAGUAAGAC
rnacentral:rRNA from 1 species